CUCAUAAAUAUAUAGCCAGACGUUAUAAAUAUGCCAAGGUUUCUAAAGCUGGAACAGAGACUGUUCAAACAAAAGCCUUGCAUGGAUUUCUUUCCAUUGAGUUUCAAAAAAAAAAAAAAGAAAAAAGAAAUGUACAAUAUUAUGCUUGACAGCUCCUUCGGAUAAAAGAAAGAUGAUUAUAAACCAACGUGCUUCAGAAGAAAAGCCAAUGACUGCUGGCCAAGUUUUCAACAGAGCAACAAACAGAGCAAUUUGUUUUAAAGUUUUAAAGAGGACUUGUACUUGUCUGAAAUAGAUGAGCUUCAGGAACAGUGGGAAUGCAACGGAGCAAGCUGCCCAGCGUGGAGGUGGAGUCACUAUCCCUGGUUUUCAAGAGAAGUGUGGACCACUGAGUGGUCUGGAGUGGUCACAGAGACAUUGCCAGUCUUUAAAUUUGCAAUGAUGCCGCUAGUGAGGAACUAAGUAAUUGUGGAGCAGUUCUUGUAACUGAAUGUACACCCAUCUACUAAAGAAAGGCUUCACAGUGACAUACAUUCCAGAGGGAACAGCAUCACCAUGCCUCACAGCAAGGGCACCUGCUAUCAUCUGAGGAACGCCUUAAACACGAAGUUCAAAGCUUUACUGUGUUAUUUAGUAUCUUUCUGGAAAGAUCGUCUACUUGGCUAAGAGUAUCAUCAAUUAAAGCCUCGUCAUUUCACACUAUCUUUAUAAGUUAAUAAAUGAGAUUGCUAUUCUGAG
ensembl:lncRNA